GGAGGGUGAUUGGCCUAAUGAGUUCAUAUAAAGUGAUAAAAAGCCUGGCGAUUUUAAGAUACGCUCGUGGCGAGAUUUGUUCGACUCCGAUCCUAAUCGACAGUUAUUGCAAAUAUUUUAACUUAAGGUCGCCUGAUGUCCGGCUUCUCCUACCUAUGAUGACAGUUCAAUAAAAUACAACAAAUGUCGCUUAUACAUGUAGUGGUGUUUAACACCAAAACAAAGAACCAAAUUUCAGAAAUAAUUUGAAAACACAUAUAUGUAUA
rnacentral:lncRNA from 1 species